UUUAUGCCUCAACUCAAACAAGAUUACCCGCUGAACUUAAGCAUAUCAAUAAGCGGAGGAAAAGA
rnacentral:rRNA from 1 species